rnacentral:misc_RNA from 1 species
GCAAAAGAGCCGAGGGACUUGUGCCAGCGCCCACGAGAAACACAGCAAACGGAUGCGAGCCAUCCGGACCGACUCUACUCGCACUCCCCGAUUCUUGCUUCCGCAUUACUGUGUACACGUAACUGUUUACGCGGAGCGCGAUUAAAUGUAACGGUGAUACACGGCGAAACGUCGUCAGUUUGACCAUCCAAUCGUGAACGGAAGGCCGUCGGCUUUUCUUGUUUUCGUCGGUCGCGCGAGCAACAAGACGUGAAAAGCUGACACCACACCACAUCUGCGACACCGAAAAGUCAGAGAAGCGAAGAAAAAGCCUUACCUCAUUUGAUUCGCAGUUGAUUUCUCCCUCUUUUCGGGUUUGAAAAUCGAGUUUUCCCGCGCCACAAUCAUGUACGGCAUGCUACUAGAAUCGGUACAACAUUUUAUUCAGCUCGAGUACGGCGAAGAGACAUGGCUGGCCAUCUUGGAGAGUGUCGGCUACCGGAACACUGUCUUCCGUACUCACCACAUCUACCCGGAUGAACUGAUCAUGAAACUGGCCGACGCUGCCGUCACGCUCGUCGCCAACGGUUCAACGCGGCAGGACUUUCUGCGCUUUUUCGGUCGCUGUUUCGUCCGCUACUUCAGCCACUACGGCUAUGAGAAAUUUAUUAAAGUUUGUGGCCGCUACUUCUGUGACUUCCUGACCGGCAUCGACAAUAUCCAUUUACAAAUGAGAUACAUGUAUCCGAAAAUGGUUUCCCCCAGCAUGUACAUAUCGCACGAAGAUGCGGAGGGCGUCCUGCUUCACUACCGGACGACACGCAACGGCUUCUGCCCUUACUUAAUUGGUCAGCUGCACCAGAUAGCGCACGACUUCUACGGGAUUCAAUUGACGGUGGAGGAACUGACUAAAACGCCUUUCAACAAAGAGGAGGGCUAUCAGUUUCGGUUCCGACUCAACUUCGAUAACCGCGACUACAUGACUGGUCGUUCGGCGUGCAACGGCAGUUUGGAGCUGGGCCGGAUAAAUAUCUCGAGCCGCGGAAGCGCCAGCACAAUGGCGUCGGAAAAAGCCCUGGCGUCGCUCUCCUCCAGCAUCCUGAUGCAGCUCUUUCCCUUCACCUUGGUUUUCCGUCCAGAUCUCCAGAUUAUCGCGGUCGGCCGGCAAUUGAAGCAAAUGUUUCCAGACAAUGCCCUUGUCGGCCAAGCGCUGCCUGAUGUCGCCAGAGUACGCCGACCCAAGCUCCUUUUCACAUGGGACAACUUGUACAGCCUCCAAAAAGUCUUGUGUGAAAUGGAGUUGCUGCCAGCGAUCCGAACGGCAAAGAAAAACGCGCGCCACUUGGCUGCCUCCAAAGCGGAUUCAAAUGCGGUGGCCAAUAAAGAAGCGAAAGAGGAAAAUCGACGUCUUAUGCUGCAGGGACAGUUACGCUAUCUGUCGGACUGGAACGCAAUGAUUUUCCUUUGCAAUCCUUUAAUAAACAACUUGGAAGACAUGGACGGAAUGGGUUUGACAAUUAACGAUCUCAGCCUUCACGGACAUGGUAGAGACAUGGUGAUGGCCGGAUGGCAGCACAACUCACGGCUGGAAGAUAUGUACGAGCGGGCCGAAGAGCGAUCGCAACAGCUCCAGCAAACGUACGAACUGCAAGACGAGUGGAAAAAACGCGGAGACAAACUUUUGUACUCCAUGAUCCCGCAAUCGGUGGCCGACACUUUGCGUAGCGGCACCGACCCAGUUGACACGUGUCAAAGUGUCAGAGGAAUCCUUUGUGCAUUCGAGAGCAUCACAGUCUUGUUUGUAGAAUUAGCCAACAUCGACGAAAUCACAGCCACUAAUCCGAUGGAAGCGGUCAGUUGCAUGAACGCAGUUUUCUCGUGCUUUGAUAACAUUAUCGACCAACAUAACGUCUACAAGGUGGAGACGGUGGGAAAGGUGUACAUGGUCGUUGGCGGAGCGCCAGAAACCAACGAAACCCACGUCAAAGAUGUUGCCAUGGUGGCCCUUAGUUUUCGGGACGAAAUCGACACAAUGGUGAAAGAUACUAAAAUGUCUGUUCACAUACGAAUAGGUUUCCAUACCGGUUCGGCGGUAGCCGGUGUAGUUGGAAAGAAAAUGCCUCGUUAUUGUUUUUUUGGAGACACAAUCAACACUGCUGCACGAAUGCAAACCACAAGCUUGCCUGGGAAAAUUCACAUCUCUCAAAACUCCUUUUGUCGCUUGCACAACUUUAACGGAUUUGUAUUCGAGAUGCGUGGGACGGUAUUCGUCAAGGUACAGGGCACGGAUACGUAUACAAGCUUACGAUUCCUGGAUGAAAGUUGGUUCUCCGUACUCUUGUUUUCUAUUCUCCGAUUGGUCCCGCACGUUUGACAGCGCACGACACAAACAUGAGAACCGACUUUCAACGACGACUUUACCAUACGAUUAUACUUGACGAUACCUUAUGCGUAUAUCCGCCUCUAUGGCCGAAUAACAGGAUAAAAGAUAUUCAUGGUCAUAUGGCACUCAAUGCAACUGUGUCCACAUAUCGUGCAAUAGAUUGGCUUUGUUCGCGCACUCGCUUUUAAAUCUGGGCAAAGGAGAUAUGAAGACUCACUGGUUGCUGAGAUACGAAGCGCCCGAUGGGAAUUCGACAUGAGCUUUCCGAGACUAUCCCAGU